rnacentral:rRNA from 1 species
CCCUUAGACGUUCUGGGCUGCACGCGCGCUACACUGACGCACGCAACAGGUGCCUGCUCCGAGAGGACUGGGUAAUCAUUUGAGUGUGCGUCGUGAUGGGGAUAGAAUAUUGUAAUUAUUACUCUUCAACGAGGAAUUCCUAGUAAGCGCCAGUCAGCAGCUUGCGCUGAUUACGUCCCUGCCCUUUGUACACACCGCCCGUCGCUCCUACCGAUGGGUGAUCCGGUGAAUGAUUCGGACUUCAGCGGCUCCCCUGGGGUGCGCCGGAGAAAGUUUUGUGAACCUUAUCACUUGGAGGAAGGAGAAGUCGUAACA